UUCUCGAUCGGUUUGGCAGGUAUGUGGCUGCUACGGGUGCGGUCGGAUUUUUGUACACGGUGGCGCAAAUACCCUUUGCUGUAUAUCAUGCCUGUACUGAAAAGAGGCCCCUUCGCCCGGAGUUCGACUUCUAUGGAGACAAGGUCAUUAGCUUGCUUCUGGGCACCGGUGUGGGAGCUGGUUUUGCAGUCACUUUUGAGUUUAAAAGAAAUUUGAAUGAUUUUGUACAAGGUGUGGAAGAUUUGAGUGGUCAAGAUUUAAGUGAAUUCAAAUCCAAGACGGAGAAAUUCCUGGAUAGGGCGACAAUUGCUACAGGUCUGCUGUUCCUGGGAUUCAUUUGCAUGGCCAUUCUUUCAGUACUUUCAUCCCUCAGUAGGAGUAGUGCUAAAUCAAGCAAAGGCUUCUUUGGAUGAUCACCAUCAAAUUCUCAAACUUAGGGAAUUCAGUUAUUCUAAUAUUAUUGUGAAUCAGCGUUGAUGUUCCUUGUUUUUUUUGCUACGAUUUGAUUUUGUUUCUGGGUGCAUGCAUGGUUCCUGUAAUGCAGAUACAACAUUAUUUAGCUGGGUUUUUAUUUCAUUGUCACUAUUUUGUAUUGGAGUCGAGACUCUGUUUUCAAAGUGUUAAGUCAACAUGAUAAAUUGGUUUUCUUUC